rnacentral:lncRNA from 1 species
GACGCGCGCGCGGGAGGGCCCCGCCUUGGCCGGCUCUCUCCCUUCCCCCUCCGCCCCCGGACGGCCGCUGGGGCGCGCGCCUCUCCUCGCACCCCCACCCUGAGUCCCCACACUCCGCGGGGCCACCGAGCUGCUGAGGCCCCUUUGCGGGCCCGCCGAGCGGUUCCGGGUUUAGGGUUCACAGGUCAGAGUUGACUCCCUGAAAAGUGCAGCCGGUUUGAAAUGCAAGAUGGCGGCGGCGUGGCGCUGAGAGGCGCGGCGGCCCCUGCAGGUAGUGGCGCGAGCCGGCUCCGCGACCAGCGGGCCCGGAGACUCUGGGCUGCGGGUGGGAACUGGAGCGCAGAGUCCGCGGCCGGCACGGGAAAGGAGAAGACAGACUGCUGCUUUGGACCUGUUGGUAAUGAUGGCCUGAGCUAAACAUCUAACUAGAAGGGAUACCCUUCCAUUUCAAAGAACAGAAUGCUAAGGAAGCUGUGGCAACUGCCUAAAACGUUGAAGGAGAAUCAAUUCUUCAACUCAAGAUGUCUGAUUUACUGUGAAUUUGCCCAAUCUUUGAUGACAUUGAAAACGUUUUGGGGCAUACACACUCAAAAAGCAGGAUCCAAUACCCAAAAGAAAUGGAACUUAAUGUUGUGCCAAAGUUAAACUACUGCAGUUGGUGGAAGUUCUGCAAUGUAAAUAGAACACUAAUUAAAAAACAACUUGUAAAAAUGCAAUUUAAAUUUUAAUACAGUACAUUUUUCUUCUAAUAUGAUGGAGACAUUCUGAAUCUUAGACUUUCUGAGGGGGUUUAAUGACCACUAGAGCUUGUCCUCAUAUUCAGUCCAGUUUAAUACUGUAUGUCUAGUAAGAUGGGCUAUAUAUUGCCUCUAUUCUUUGAGAUGUGAUUAAGCUUAGAACUUUGACCAAAAAUUUUACAGUAAAAAUUGUUAGAAAUGGGUAAAAAAAAAAAAAAAAAAAAAACCCUGAUUUAUUACUAUGUCUUAUUUAUCAGACCCUGCACUAAGAUUAAAAGUUGUGCAUGGGCUUAUACAAUUUCAAAUGUAAAAACAGCCUAUUUAUAUAUGUUGAAACAAUAAGAUUUUAUGGUUUCACUGGCCCUUAAUAAUUGGAUCCUUCAUUAAACACAUCCAUGAAUACCACUGUUUCUACUGUUACUUGUUCCAUUAGAAGCUGAUUUGCUUUUUAUUAAACUGCAGGAAAUUAAUUCUGAAGAAGGAAAAGAAACUGACAUGGUAAUUUGGAUAGGGUGAAGCUUUGAAAUAAAUACUGCACCAAAAAUGUGAAAAAGAAUCACGUAGUAAAUGUAUACUUAGUGUUUUCUUACAAUCGUGGAAAUCAGAAAUGUUUAUACAGGUGUCAGAUCAGAAUUUUUAAGAGUUAUCUUUCAGUGAAAUUUUAUAACAGUUUCAGUGAAUAGAGAAAAAAUUCUGAACUGAUCAUAAUGAGUUAAAAGUUAGCUUUUCACUUAUGAAUCAUGGGAGUGUUAACUGUUAACUCUUGCCGUAUCAGGAGACUGAAAGUUCAUACUAAUUUACAAACUUUGUAAAGACUGGUGCUGUUCAUUCAUAUUGGGAAGAACCCUUUCUUUUGUGACCAUAGGACCAUUUUUCAAAAUGCGCUUUCUUCGUAGAAGAAAUGUUCAGUUUAAUUAGCUUUGGAUUUUAACAUGUUUUUCUGAAUGACCAGAUGUAGGCUUAGCCAGUUUAUUUUCUCUAAUUUAAUGGAUAAUAAAUAUUAAGCUCUUGGUUAAAUGUUUUUCAGCCAUUGAAAAUGUUAUGAAAAAGCCUUGAAUAUGCAUGCUGCUUUCAUUUUUAUAAACUUUUUAUUUUUUAACUAUAGCUUUAUUAGUAAUUCCAAAAUGCUGCAAUGUAGCUGAUUUCCUCACUCAGACAGCUGGCUUUGUGGGUGGCUUUUUUCAUACUACUGUUAACUUUUUUAAAAAAGAAGCAAUGUAAAGACCGUAAUGCACUAAGCUUUUUUUUUUUCUUUUACACGUUUAAAAACUUCUUAAAGCACUCUGUAAUAUAAUGAUUAAAUUGCUCCCUUUUAUAAACAUUGCUAAUGUGGUCUGAGUUUUGUUUGACAAUAAUUUUAAUGUUCUCAAAAUUUGAAAUGUCAAGUAUUAGAAAUGAAGCCUUUGAAUAUAGUUGUUUCCCUUGCAAUAUGUUAACUCUGUGUAGCUGUAUAUAACUAUUAAUUUCCCUCAUCUCUUUUAUAGGCCUGAUAAAACUCUUCUCUGACGUUUGCUAGCUUUUAAAUAUAUUUAUUUGACAGAGCAAAAGAACCCUCUUCUGGUUGAUUGUGACCUUGAAUACAAAAUAAAAGUAGUGAUUAGUAGUUUACAGUGA